rnacentral:rRNA from 1 species
UGGCGGCAGGCCUAACACAUGCAAGUCGAGCGCACCUUCGGGUGAGCGGCGGACGGGUUAGUAACGCGUGGGAACAUACCCUUCUCUAAGGAAUAGCCACUGGAAACGGUGAGUAAUACCUUAUACGCCCUUCGGGGGAAAGAUUUAUCGGAGAAGGAUUGGCCCGCGUUAGAUUAGAUAGUUGGUGGGGUAAUGGCCUACCAAGUCUACGAUCUAUAGCUGGUUUUAGAGGAUGAUCAGCAACACUGGGACUGAGACACGGCCCAGACUCCUACGGGAGGCAGCAGUGGGGAAUCUUAGACAAUGGGCGCAAGCCUGAUCUAGCCAUGCCGCGUGAGUGAUGAAGGCCUUAGGGUCGUAAAGCUCUUUCGCCAGGGAUGAUAAUGACAGUACCUGGUAAAGAAACCCCGGCUAACUCCGUGCCAGCAGCCGCGGUAAUACGGAGGGGGUUAGCGUUGUUCGGAAUUACUGGGCGUAAAGCGCACGUAGGCGGACUAUUAAGUGAGGGGUGAAAUCCCAGGGCUCAACCCUGGAACUGCCUCUCAUACUGGUAGUCUUGAGUUCGAGAGAGGUGAGUGGAAUUCCGAGUGUAGAGGUGAAAUUCGUAGAUAUUCGGAGGAACACCAGUGGCGAAGGCGGCUCACUGGCUCGAUACUGACGCUGAGGUGCGAAAGUGUGGGGAGCAAACAGGAUUA